rnacentral:rRNA from 1 species
UACAUGUGGGGCAAGCGUUGUUCGGAAUUACUGGGCAUAAAGGGUGCGUAGGCGGCUUGUUAAGUCAGGGGUGAAAGUUUUCGGCCCAACCGGAAAAUUGCCUUUGAUACUGGCGAGCUCGAGUGCGUGAGGGGUAACCGGAACGAGCAGUGUAGCGGUGAAAUGCGUAGAUAUUGCUCGGAAGGCCAACGGCGAAGGCAGGUUACUGGUACGCAACUGACGCUGAGGCGCGAAAGCUAGGGGAGCAAACAGG